AGGACAGGCAGACCUGGAGUUAA
rnacentral:piRNA from 1 species